rnacentral:rRNA from 1 species
GACGAACGCUGGCGGCGUGCUUAACACAUGCAAGUCGAGCGGUAAGGCCCUUUCGGGGGUACACGAGCGGCGAACGGGUGAGUAACACGUGGGUGACCUGCCCUUAGCUCUGGGAUAAGCCUGGGAAACUGGGUCUAAUACCGGAUAUGACUCCAUGACGCAUGUUGUGGGGUGGAAAGCCUUGUGCGGCUAGGGAUGGCCCGCGGCCUAUCAGCUUGUUGGUGGGGUGAUGGCCACCAAGGCGACGACGGGUAGCCGGCCUGAGAGGGCGACCGGCCACACUGGGACUGAGACACGGCCCACGACUCCUACGGGAGGCAGCAGUGGGGAAUCUUGCGCAAUGGGCGAAAGCCUGACGCAGCGACGCCGCGUGGGGA